rnacentral:misc_RNA from 1 species
GAUGAAGAACGUAGCGAAAUGCGAUACGUAGUGUGAAUUGCAGAAUUCAGUGAAUCAUCGAAUCUUUGAACGCACAUUGGACCUCUCGGUAUUCCGGGAGGUAUGCCUGUUCGAGCGUCAUUUGUACCCUCAAGCUCUGCUUGGUGUUGGGUGUUUGUUCCGCCUCUGUGUGUGAACUCGCCUCAAAACAAUUGGCAGCCGGCGUACUUGUUUCGGAGCGCAGCACAUUUUGCGAUCCAGAUCAACGUACAGCGGCAUCCAAGAAGCCUUAUUUAACGCUCUUGACCUCGGAUCAGGUAGGGAUACCCGCUGAACUUAAGCAUAUCAAUAAGCGGAGGA